GUUACUCAGAAAAGGCAUUUACGGCAAUCGGCUAAAAACAAACCUCACCUGUUUAGGUGCAGGAUCUUUUGCAGGCCACGUUUUAGUCUUUGCCACUGCGCAUGUGCAUCGUUGCGCAUCGCGGAAACGCUUGCUUUACUUUUCGGCGCUACGCGAGUUUUACCAGCAUAACAUUUGUGAUUAUUCGUGCAAUACGCAUCACUUUGCAUAAUCAAACAUUGGCCAAAAUAACCAGUUAUGUUUGCUGCUGCUGUGUACCUGUGUACAGGACAAGUCACAAAACAAAGCGACGUCAUUUCUGGAUUAAUGAUGAUCCGGAGGUGCACAGAGUCAGGAACUGCAUCUGAAUGACUGCAAGCGAGUUGCUACUACAGUGGCAUCUGUGAAAUCACUGGAGACAGGAAGAAAGCGUUUGGCAUCCUUGUAGGACCAUCUUUGGAUCCACUCUGACAGCGGUUUUUUCCUCCUCACAUGCAUUCAUCCAAACCACUUGGCUGAAUCAAGGCACACUGACACCAUGGAAUUCAAUAUGCACAGACUCUGCAGUGCAGAUCUCUCCUGCUGAUAGCUGCAAAUCCCAAACGUGCCAGCAGAGCCCUGCCUGACUGCCUGCUCUCACACUUCACAGUGCCUUGCCAUGACAGGCCGAGAAAGCCCAGCUAUGUCCCUUUGU